rnacentral:lncRNA from 1 species
UUUCUAAUUCCCAAGUUGCCUUUGGAGCCCAAUGAAUUAUGUUUUUUUUUUAUCAAGCUGCAGAUAACACCCACAAACAGUUUUUUUUCCAUAAAACAGUAUCAAUUGUUGAUGUAUGAAUUAGAAAUUAUCAAGAGCUUCAAUAAUCCAAAUUAUGCAAUCCAAGCUGUAGAUGCCAUCUGGAAGGAUAAUAUCCUUCGAGUCUUACUCAUUUUCAACCCAUGAGUCAAACUUCCUUAAAAGGUUCUCAUCAACCAAGCUUUGAUAGAACAUGCAGGGACACACACACACACAUACAGAGAG